ACAGAGACCUCAAGCGUUAUCCGGAAUCAUUGGGCGUAAAGCGUACCGAUAGGUGGUCAAGAAAGCCAAAAGUGAAAUCUCCGAGCUCAACUCGGAAUCUGUCUUUUGGAACUUCUCGACUAGAGGGGCAAAGAGGAAGCUGGAACGAACGGUGUAGUAGUGAAAUGCGUUGAUAUCGUUCGGAACACCAAUAGCGUAGGCAGGCUUCUGGGUGCCACCUGACACUGCUAGGACGAAAGCGUGGGGAGCGAAUGGGA
rnacentral:rRNA from 1 species